rnacentral:rRNA from 1 species
UAGCUCUUUCUCGAUUCCGUGGGUGCUGGUGCAUGGCCGUUCUUAGUUGGUGGAGCGGUUUGUCUGGUUAAUUCCGAUAACGAACGAGACUAUGGCAUGCUGACAUAGCUUACUAGACACGCGACCCGCGAGCGGUCGGGCGUCCCCCCCAUUUCUUAGAGGGACAAGUGGCGUUCAGCCACCGGAGAUUGAGCAAUAACAGUUCUGUGACCCCUAGAGAUGUCGGGGCUUCAACGGCGCGUUACACUGACUGGCUCAGCGUGUGCCUACCCUACGCCCGGCAAGCGCGGGUAACCCGUUGAACCCCAUUUCGUGAUGGGGUUCGGGGAUUGCAAUUAUUCCCCAUGAACGAGGAAUUCCCAGUAAGU